CCAUAGCCCAUUUUCCCAAUUGUCAAAUUCCAGAAGCUAGGUGCGAUACUAGCGCGUCGCGCUAAGGCCAAAAAUCGGGCCUCCAGUUUUCCAGCUUCGUUUUUUUAAUUAGUUUAAGGGGAUUUGGGUCUUUUUCCACGACCCUAAGUAACCUAAAACACGAAAUUUUGACCCUAAAGGACCUAUUAGCUCAUUGUUUACACACUUUUCUCAAGAAAUAAAUCUCCUUUUCAAGAAACAAGAGAAACCCUAGCCCCCAAGCCUCAAAGGGCAAUUUCAAGAAAUCCAUCCAUGAACUCUCCAUUAAUCCCUCAAAUAUUUAUUUCCAGGAAGGAUUUUAGCUCCUUCUGCUUAGAGGCCUUGUUCAGCCCCCUAAUAUUCCAGGCACUUAAUUGUGUAGACUAGAUCGUAUAUUAAUUGUGUAACAAGUGUGGGCUGUAGGUAGAUCCUUGCCAUUGGAAUUUCCGAAAAGCAAUUAUAUCAUGCGCUACAAUUAUUCUCAUAUCUUGCAAUGUGUCUUCUUUACCAGUUAUUGACAUAUCUCGACCCCUAAUAAUGUGGGGCAUUCAAUGUAAUGGUUAUUGAACCAUAUAAGAUGUCUAUUAGGAUACAAUUAUCCAAUACUUAGUUGUUGUAAGGUAUUAGGUAUCUACUGAGGUGCAUGUAAGUGGCUCAGACACCACUGCCACCAAAAUAAAGACAGCUGCUACUCUGGAAGAUGUUGAGAAUGUUAAGUGUGUUUAAACGUUCCCUCUAAUUUUUUUCUUUUUCUUGUUGUGGUGAGGAUUAUUAGGCAAAUGAAAACAGAAUGCCCCUAAUUGGUAUUCAAUGUUAAGAAUGUUUUGACUAUUAGUUGCAGGUAUUGCCUGUCCUAGGACAUUUAACUCUGCCAUCAUAUUCCUCUU